GACAGAGGAUGCAAGCGUUAUCCGGAAUGAUUGGGCGUAAAGCGUCUGUAGGUGGCUUUUUAAGUCCGCCGUCAAAUCCCAGGGCUCAACCCUGGACAGGCGGUGGAAACUACCAAGCUGGAGUACGGUAGGGGCAGAGGGAAUUUCCGGUGGAGCGGUGAAAUGCGUAGAGAUCGGCAGGAACACCAGUGGCGAAGGCGGCCACCUAGCCCGCACCUGACGCUGAGGCGCGACAGCGUGGGGAGCGAACUGG
rnacentral:rRNA from 1 species